AGUAACUGAAAGAGACUAUAAAAGGCACAACAGCAAAAUAACCCAAUGCAGAGGAAAGAUAUGGCUGCAUUGAUACAUUAAUGACCUAAAAAAUAAAAAGAGAAUCAUACAAAAACUGGAAACAAAGAUGAAGAAUCAGUAUAUGAAGGAUCAGUAUAUAAAAGGAAUACCACAAGGCAGUAGAGAUUCAAAAAAAAUCAGAGGCUAAAGUACAAAAUUAGCUACAAGCAGGAAGACACUUUGACAUAAGAAAGGUUCCACGAAUAUAUUAGAAAUAAAAAGAAGACGAGGAACGUAUAAGCCUAUUACUUAAUAGGAAAGAGAAGAAACAAUGACUGACUCAGAGAAGCACUGAAGUAUUCAAAGCCUUUUUUAUUCCUGUUUUCACAAAAAAAGUUACUGACCAGAUUAUUGUUACAGAUACUUGAAGCAGAGGAUAGGAUUACAGGCUGGAAAAGAAAAAGUUAAAAAAAUAUUUCUAUAACUUAAAUGUAUUCAAGUCAGCUAGGGCUGGUGAAAUUUUCCCUCAAGUGCUGAAAGAACUGGCUGAGAGUCUCUCUGAAUCAACAGUGAUCAUCUUUAAGAACUCAAGACAGGGAAGAUCCAGACAACUGGAAAAAGAGCUGCCCUACUAAAAAACUACUGCUGGCUACCACUGUGAACUACAAAUCCCAGAGGCACCUGAAAGCAGGAAGAGGAAAUGAUGAGCAAUCCUAUAGAGUCCUGCUGCUGUUAGUCUGGACUGCAAAUCCCAGAGACCUUGGUGGCAGAAGGAAGAGGAAGCAAACACACAGCCCAUGCGGCCUAUGUGCCAGAAAGCCAUGCUCUAGCACCCCCCACCUUCUGGCUUGAGCCACUGCAGGCCCAGCGGUGACGAAGAAGCAAUCUGUGACUGCCUGAUCGCGGGAAUCACCGAACACCAACCUACAGCACACUCGAGUCGACGCCACAAUGGCCGCCUACUCAUAUGUCGCAAGCAGGGUUGUCGCUCUAUUCCUGCUGUUGCUAACAGGUUCCUCAGCGAACGGAGCUGACUUCGAAACCUCCAACUCGAUCCUGAACCUUCUGUCAAUUUAGGCCAAAGACAUAACUAACGACUCAUUUUAUGGUUUUUCUUUUUCUGUUAAUGAUCUUAUACAUACUUGUUUUGUUUUGUUUUAAAGCCAGUUUGAGACUUUAUGCAGUGAAGCCAAGUCAUAAUGCUUUGAGUGAAAAGCUCUAAAUUAUUGAGAAAGAACAGCAUUGGUAGUCUGAAGGUUUAGGGGAUGUCGCAGAAAGGUCGGGUGUGGACAGAAGCAUUCAUUGAGGGAACGUGAGAAAAGAGAUGAGGGAGAUGAUGAUGGAAGGGGGCAAGUAGUCAAGGUUCUAAAGGAUCCUGUACAUUCAAAGAAGAGGAAAAGGAACGAUUUGGGAAAAGUGGUAACAGUAAAAGGAAUGAAGAAAGGCCGCUAAUGACGGUACGGAAAAUUAGUGUUUUCAGAGCUACGAUUUAACUCAAGUAUAAUAAGCCACAAUUUUAGAAGCCGUCCAUAUAGGGGGCAUUAAUCUGAUACCUCACUCUCAGUUACCUUAAAAAAUCGAAUUAGAAAAGAUUACAUACAAUCAAAAAUAACAGUUUACUGCGUUUAAGUUAAUUCAAGUGUCGGCGUCUUUGAUUAUCUUGUGUUUACCAUGGAUCAUAAUAGCCAUUGUUGUAUUUGUGUGUUUUGGUUGUUGAAUUUUACAGUAUCUCAAAACGAAGUUAACCACACUUUUUGCUUUUGUAUACACCCGCUUGCCAAACAUUAACAAUGAUGAACAAAAUGGUCUGUACAUAAACAUGAUGUGACUUGCUGUGCCAUGGGCAAGGGGGCAUGUCACAAACAAGUAAAACCAUUCAAAACAGUUUUUUUCUGCACUAGGUUAACUAAGGGUUAACAAUAAUGAUAGUAACCGCUUUUUUUUUGCUGCACAUGUCAAAAAGAGAUUUAUAACUGCGACACUAACUAGAAAUGAAACUUAGCCUUCUGUGCUGUACAUAAAUCAUUGUAAUUGGUUGAAAUGACAGGGGAGUGUCUGGGAGUAACCCUAUGAUAACACCCUAGCAAAGACCACUAGAUAAUUGGUGAUUCUAAUUCAAUUUAUGACGUGGCGAAAAGCAAUUGGCUAUUACCCAAAUAAAACCCGUCUUCACUUCCGUGAAGAACGGGAGACCUCCGCGCACACACCUGAAAAACCUCUGAAUGUAUGAGUGAGAAUAACUGACAAAUUGAUCACUUGUUAAUCUCCCCGUCUCGACCUUAUCAGACGUAAAUCAACGACCUGCCGGCCCGACUUUUUUCUCCAUUUAUCUGCCCGACCAACGAACUCUUACGCAGACCAACCUAUGACCUACGAACCUUAAGCUAUAACUAACCAAGUAUCUCUGACCUCCGCUAUUCACCACCUUGACAGCGUGAGUAAAUAAUCUUGCUUUGCAACUGAUAAGCGUCCUUCUAAUUAAUUCCACUCCAAGUGGAUUAAGUGUCACAAGUACCUGCCUGACGGCCUUCUAAGGUGACAGACCCUUAACUGCCCGGGUGGGAGUCAGGGACAGCUGCUGGCCGGCUGCCCUGGAUCCCGACAGGAAUAACCCCAAUAAGCCCAGUCAGGGCUUUCUGGUUAGUAGGGCUGCAUUCACCUAACAUUUGGGUUAGGAUUGGCAAAGUUCUGCCCAUCUAACAUUUGGUUUGGGACUGGCAGGUUACUCCAAAGUAGAUAUCAAUUAUAUUCAAAAUAGCUUUCUCUGGACCUGUGCCAUAUAUUGGUAUGUGUUUAAAAUUAUUAUAAUGUCCAUUUAAGCAAUAAAAGUCAGAGAUAGGUAUCCAAAGUCCUUACUUUAAUCAAAGGCCAAUCGUGCAAUCAGCACCUGGAAUUUGUGUAGUUCCUUAUUCCAUGCAGUAUUACAUACUGGAAACCAAUUACAUCUUAUUCCUUCAGCUGAAGUAAGUUGUUACAGGGAGAUUUUUUGGAGUUGUUCAUUUGUAGUCACGGCUAAAGUAGACAAGUAAAGGAAAGAAGAAAAGAUACAGAGCAAAUCUCAUCCACAAUUGUACAUAUGUCUUAAAAUUCAAAAAAGAUUCAUAUUAUUACCACAAAUCUUCCAGGAGUUGGUCAGCCUACAGGAAGAGAAGUGGCAAGCAGACUUAUACAGUAAGAGCAUGAGUCAUAUACAUCUUCCACGUGGAAUAUUUUUAACACAUUCUGGAAACAAAGAGCACUUUUUCUUUCUAGAGCUAGUGUUAGUUCCUCUUGUCAAAAUAGGAAAGUGUUUCAGUUACUGCAUCUCUUCCUAGGAGCAUUUCAAUACAGAGAUGUUACUCUAGUGCCACCAUGUGUUACAGACACAAUGUAUUAAUACCACCACAAGACACAAUGUGUUAAUAUCUGUCAAAGAUUGUUGAGGUUAAUAUUAUCUUAAUGGAAAGCUUUAAUUUAAAUUUGAUACUUGCAUCUGACGUGUUAUUGUUACAUUGAAGA